UACGUAGGGCGCAAGCGUUAUCCGGAAUUAUUGGGCGUAAAGAGCUCGUAGGCGGUUUGUCGCGUCUGCCGUGAAAGUCCGGGGCUCAACUCCGGAUCUGCGGUGGGUACGGGCAGACUAGAGUGAUGUAGGGGAGACUGGAAUUCCUGGUGUAGCGGUGAAAUGCGCAGAUAUCAGGAGGAACACCGGUGGCGAAGGCGGGUCUCUGGGCCGUAACUGACGCUGAGGAGCGAAAGCGUGGGGAGCAAACAGG
rnacentral:rRNA from 1 species